UGGCCCGAUGGCUCAGUUGGUUAGAGCGCCGCCCUGUCACGGCGGAGGUCGUCGGUUCGAGUCCGAUUCGGGUCGU
rnacentral:tRNA from 1 species